rnacentral:rRNA from 1 species
UACGUAGGGGCCUAGCGUUGUCCGGAUUUAUUGGGCGUAAAGAGCUCGUAGGCGGUUCGGCAAGUCGGGUGUGAAAACUCCGGGCUCAACUCGGAGACGCCACUUGAUACUGCUAUGACUCGAGUCCGGUAGGGGAGUGCGGAAUUCCUGGUGUAGCGGUGAAAUGCGCAGAUAUCAGGAGGAACACCGGUGGCGAAGGCGGCACUCUGGGCGGUACUGACGCUGAGGAGCGAAAGCGUGGGGAGCGAACAGG